GCACACCCCGCCCCCCCGCCCACCCUGCCGCCUGCCACCAAAGAAGUGUGUCGAGCCGCUAAAGCAGAUCUGGUGUUUCUGGUGGACGGAUCGUGGAGUAUCGGAGACGACAACUUCCAGAAGAUCAUCCGCUUCCUAUACAGCACAGCCGGAGCGCUGGACCGGAUCGGUCCGGAUGGGACUCAAGUGGCCAUCGCUCAGUUCAGUGACGACGCUCGCACCGAGUUCAGGCUCAGCUCGUACGAUAAUAAAGAAAA